rnacentral:pre_miRNA from 1 species
AAAGUACUCCCUCCAUCCCAAAAUUCUUGUCUUAGAUUUGUCUAGAUACGGAUGUAUCAAGUCACAUUUUAGUAUUAGAUACAUCUAUAUCUAGACAAAUCUAAGACAAGAAAUUUGGGACAGAGGGAGUAGUUG